rnacentral:rRNA from 1 species
CAAAAACAUGUCCAUAUGUUUAGCGUUUUAUAUGGUCUGGCCUGCCCACUGAUAUUUAAAGUUAAAGGGCCGCGGUAUUCUGACCGUGCGAAGGUAGCAUAAUAAUUAGUCUCCUAAUUAGAGGCUUGUAUGAAUGGUCGGACAAGAUGGAAACUGUCUCAAUACAACUAAUAAAAUUUAAUAUUUAAGUAAAAAAGCUUAAAUAAUAUGGAGGGACGAUAAGACCCUAUAAAGCUUUAUAAUACUUCUUUUUUAUAUAAAUUGUUCUAUUAUUAACUUAUUUUAAAGAUUGUAUUAUUUUACUGGGGCGGUAAAAGUAUAUUAAAGACUAACUGCUUUUAUUUUUUAUAACAACUAUGAUUGAAUGUAAAUUGAUCCAUUAUUAAUGAUCACAAGAACAAGUUACUUUAGGGAUAACAGCGUAAUUUUUCUUGAGAGUUCUUAUCGAAAGAAAAGUUUGCGACCUCGAUGUUGAAUUAAGGUUGCCUUAAGGUGCAGCAGUUUUAAAGGUAGAUCUGUUCGAUCUUUAAAUCCUUACGUGAUCUGA